rnacentral:rRNA from 1 species
GUGGGGAAUAUUGGUCAAUGGACGAGAGUCUGAACCAGCCAAGUCGCGUGAAGGAAGACGGUUCUAUGAAUUGUAAACUUCUUUUGUGCAGGAAUAAAGUGGGUUACGUGUAACCUUUUGUAUGUACUGUACGAAUAAGGAUCGGCUAACUCCGUGCCAGCAGCCGCGGUAAUACGGAGGAUCCGAGCGUUAUCCGGAUUUAUUGGGUUUAAAGGGUGCGUAGGUGGAUUGAUAAGUCAGCGGUGAAAGUUUGCAGCUUAACUGUAAAAUUGCCGUUGAAACUGUCGGUCUUGAGUGCAAAUGAGGUAGGCGGAAUGUGUUGUGUAGCGGUGAAAUGCUUAGAUAUAACACAGAACUCCGAUUGCGAAGGCAGCUUACUGGGAUGCAACUGACACUGAUGCACGAAAGCGUGGGUAUCAAACAGGAUUAGAUACCCGUGUAGUCC